AUUGAACGCUGGCGGAAUGCUUUACACAUGCAAGUCGAACGGCAGCACGGGGGCAACCUGGUGGCGAGUGGCGAACGGGUGAGUAAUACAUCGGAACGUGCCCAAUCGUGGGGGAUAACGUAGCGAAAGUUACGCUAAUACCGCAUACGAUCUACGGAUGAAAGCGGGGGAUCGCAAGACCUCGCGCGAAUGGAGCGGCCGAUGUCAGAUUAGGUAGUUGGUGGGGUAAAGGCUCACCAAGCCAACGAUCUGUAGCUGGUCUGAGAGGACGACCAGCCACACUGGAACUGAGACACGGUCCAGACUCCUACGGGAGGCAGCAGUGGGGAAUUUUGGACAAUGGGCGCAAGCCUGAUCCAGCCAUUCCGCGUGCAGGAUGAAGGCCUUCGGGUUGUAAACUGUCUUUUGUACGGAACGAAACGGCGAGCUCUAAUACAGUUGCUAAUGACGGUACCGUAAGAAUAAGCACCGGCUAACUACGUGCCAGCAGCCGC
rnacentral:rRNA from 1 species